rnacentral:rRNA from 1 species
CCUACGGGAGGCAGCAGUGGGGAAUCUUGCGCAAUGGGCGAAAGCCUGACGCAGCCAUGCCGCGUGAAUGAUGAAGGUCUUAGGAUUGUAAAAUUCUUUCACCGGGGACGAUAAUGACGGUACCCGGAGAAGAAGCCCCGGCUAACUUCGUGCCAGCAGCCGCGGUAAUACGAAGGGGGCUAGCGUUGCUCGGAAUUACUGGGCGUAAAGGGAGCGUAGGCGGAUAGUUUAGUCAGAGGUGAAAGCCCAGGGCUCAACCUUGGAAUUGCCUUUGAUACUGGCUAUCUUGAGUUUGGGAGAGGUGAGUGGAACUCCGAGUGUAGAGGUGAAAUUCGUAGAUAUUCGGAAGAACACCAGUGGCGAAGGCGACUCACUGGCCCAAUACUGACGCUGAGGCUCGAAAGCGUGGGGAGCAAACAGGAUUAGAUACCCUGGUAGUCCACGCCGUAAACGAUGAGUGCUAGUUGUCGGCAUGCAUGCAUGUCGGUGACGCAGCUACGCAUAAGUCACUCCGCCGUCGGGAGGUACGGUCGCGAGAAUUAAACUAACGAAGAAGUAGUACGGCGNGAGACGUGCCGACGGACGACGACGAGGGAGGUUAGG